rnacentral:rRNA from 1 species
GACGAACGCUGGCGGCGUGCUUAACACAUGCAAGUCGAACGGAGUGUGGAACGGGUGAGUGACACGUGGGUGACCUGCCCUGCACUUCGGGAUAAGCCUGGGAAACUGGGUCUAAUACCGGAUAGUGUGCGAUGGGAGCGCGGCCUAUCGGCUUGGUGGUGGGGUAAUGGCCUACCAAGGCGGCGACGGGUAGCCGGCCUGAGAGGGGGGACGGCCACAUUGAGACUGAGGCACGGCGCAGACUGCUACGGGAGGCAGCAGUGCGGAACAUUGUACAGUGGGCGGAAGCGUGAUGAAGCGACGCCGCGUGGGGGAUGCCGGCCCUCGGGUUGGAAACGCCUUUAACCAUAGACGCGGUAGAUGGAGAAGAAGCACCGGCUAACUACGUGCCAGCAGCCGCGGUAAUAC